rnacentral:rRNA from 1 species
UACGGAGGGAGCUAGCGUUGUUCGGAAUUACUGGGCGUAAAGCGCACGUAGGCGGCUUUCUAAGUCAGGGGUGAAAUCCCGGGGCUCAACCCCGGAACUGCCCUUGAAACUGGAGAGCUAGAAUCCUGGAGAGGCGAGUGGAAUUCCGAGUGUAGAGGUGAAAUUCGUAGAUAUUCGGAAGAACACCAGUGGCGAAGGCGACUCGCUGGACAGGUAUUGACGCUGAGGUGCGAAAGCGUGGGGAGCAAACAGG